rnacentral:lncRNA from 1 species
ACGGUUAAACCGGGAAAGGAGCUGCUAGCUUGGGAGGGAAGAAACCCCUUGAGGAAACGCCCGGGUCUGCGCGAAUUCCGGCCGGGCAUCCUGGCGCCCGGCUGGGGCGGAGGGGAGCUGGCG